GACGAACGCUGGCGGCGCGCUUAACACAUGCAAGUCGAACGGAAAGGCCUGCUUUCCCUUGUGGAUUGCGGGUACUCGAGUGGCGAACGGGUGAGUAACACGUGAGUGAUCUGCCCCCAACUUGGGUAUAAGCCUGGGAAACUGGGUCUAAUUCCCGAUAGGACUGCAGGGUGGUGCCUGUGGUGGAAAACGAUUUUCUAGUGGUUGGGGAUGAGCUCGCGGCCUAUCGGCUUGUUGGUGGGGUAAUGGCCUACCAAGGCGGCGACGGGUAGCCGGCCUGAGAGGGUGGACGGCCACAUUGGGACUGAGAUACGGCCCAGACUCCUACGGGAGGCAGCAGUGGGGAAUAUUGCACAAUGGGCGGAAGCCUGAUGCAGCGACGCCGCGUGGGGGAUGACGGCCUUCGGGUUGUAAACUCCUUUCGACCGCGAGGAAGCCACCUGGUUGGAAGGGUGGUGACGGUAGUGGUAGAAGAAGCACCGGCUAACUACGU
rnacentral:rRNA from 1 species